rnacentral:lncRNA from 1 species
AGACCAAUCUCAUGCCAGGAAGUACAGGGCGUGGUCUCUCCCCCAGCACAGGAUUGGUCCAUUCGAGACCAAUCCCACACCAGGAAGUAGUAGGGAGGAAUCCCUGAGGCAAGUUUGGGGAUGCAGUUCCCCAGGCCACAAUACCUCAUACACUUCAUAUCUGUAUUACCCUGUUCAAGUCACUUAAAACUGAUUGCCUAACCUCUGCUCUUCUGUCUUGAAUUGAUACUAAGACAUAAGGAAGAGGAACAAAGAAAGCAAAAAAAAAGGCUAACUCGGGGCUUUGAAAAUAAAAAGCUGGAGACUGCUGCUGGAGAGGCAAUCAUCAAAGGAGAGAAAGGAGGGACCAGACCAAGAAGGAAUUCAGCUGCUGUUCAUGAUGUAAGAAAGAAGUCAUGUAGACCUUUUUUUUAGCUAUGUGCAUUUGAAAAGAAAAGACCAGACCUGAACAGAAAAUUUGAUGCCCAAGCACAGAACUCAAGAGAAUCAUCAAAAGGUAAUUAAAAAGGAGGGAAAAUAGAAAAACAAAACAAACAAACAAAAAAUUUUUAAGAGACUCAAUAACUUAAAAUGUUAUAUAUCCCUAUAAGAAAAGAGGUCAUUGGUAACUCUUAAAAAUUGUUAUCAUCACCUGGCAGCUAGAAGAAUUACACUUAGGGGGAAUAGUGACCAACAGUAUAGGAUGAAAUUCCAAGACAUAAAUAUGUAUAUAGAUAUAUGUAUGCAUAAAUACAAAUAUAUGUAUAUGUAUAUACACAUACAACUAGAGCUUUAAAAGGAGGUUAAUACUAAAAGAAAUGGGAAAUGAAACAAAAGGGGG